rnacentral:rRNA from 1 species
AUUGAACGCUGGCGGCAGGCCUAACACAUGCAAGUCGGACGAGCGGCGGACGGGUGAGUAAUGUCUGGGAAACUGCCUGAUGGAGGGGGAUAACUACUGGAAACGGUAGCUAAUACCGCAUACCAUCAGAUGUACCCAGAUGGGAUUAGCUUGUUGGUAGGGUAACGGCUUACCAAGGCGACGAUCCCUAGCUGGUCUGAGAGGAUGACCAGCCACACUGGGACGGAGACACGGCCCAGACUCCUACGGGAGGCAGCAGUGGGGAAUAUUGCACAAUGGGCGCAAGCCUGAUGCAGCCAUGCCGCGUGUAUGAAGAAGGCCUUCGGGUUGUAAAGUACUUUCAGUCGGGAGGCGUUACCGACAGAAGAAGCACCGGCUAACUCCGUGCCAGCAGCCGCGGUAAUAC